rnacentral:rRNA from 1 species
AUGGCAAAAUAUAGUUUUCACUUGCCAUGGAAAAUUAGCAUUCAUUUAUCACGGCAAAAUAGUACCUACAUUGCCAUGUCAAAUUUACUUUUUACAUGUCAUUUUAAUAGCUCAUGGGAACUUUUUUUAUUUUUCGUGGAACGAUGGAAGUUUUUGCUAUGCGAAUUUUUACUUCAAAUAAAUUGGGCAUGUAAAAUUCUUCAUUUUUAUUGCCAUCGCAAAAUGUAUUUUCACUUGCCAUUUCAAAUUUACAUUCAUCACCACGGUAAUUUUAAUUGCCAUCACACAUGGCAAAUUUAA